GACGAGCGCUGGCGGUGUGCUUAACACAUGCAAGUCGAACGGUAAGGCCCUUUCGGGGGUACACGAGUGGCGAACGGGUGAGUAACACGUGAGUAACCUGCCCUCAUCUCUGGGAUAACAGUCGGAAACGGUUGCUAAUACUGGAUAUGAGCCUGCAAGGCAUCUUGUGGGUUGGAAAGAUUUUUUGGUUGGGGAUGGACUCGCGGCCUAUCAGCUUGUUGGUGAGGUAGUAGCUCACCAAGGCUUCGACGGGUAGCCGGCCUGAGAGGGCGACCGGCCACAUUGGGACUGAGAUACGGCCCAAACUCCUACGGGAGGCAGCAGUGGGGAAUAUUGCACAAUGGACGGAAGUCUGAUGCAGCAACGCCGCGUGCGGGAUGACGGCCUUCGGGUUGUAAACCGCUUUCAAUUGUGACGAAGCUUUUUGUGACGGUAGCAGUAGAAGAAGCACCGGCUAACUACGUG
rnacentral:rRNA from 1 species